AUACUUACCUGGCGUAGGGAUACCGUGAUCAUACAGGCGGUUUCCCCAGGGUGAGGCUGCUCCAUUGCACUGCGGAGUGGUUGACCCUUGCGUUUAUUUUCAUUAUUUAUAAUUUUCACUUCUACCGUGUCCGUGUGUGACUUGCACACGCACACACUUUUUUUC